rnacentral:rRNA from 1 species
UGAGUAACCUGCCCUUAACUCUGGGAUAAGCCUGGGAAACUGGGUCUAAUACCGGAUAUGACUCCUCAUCGCAUGGGUGGGGGGUGGAAAGCUUUAUUGUGGUUUUGGAUGGACUCGCGGCCUAUCAGCUUGUUGGUGAGGUAAUGGCUCACCAAGGCGACGACGGGUAGCCGGCUGAGAGGGUGACCGGCCACACGUGGGACUGAGACCACGGCCCAGACCUCCGUACGGGGAGCAG